GUUUACCUAACUCCCCAAAUGAACCUGUUAAUAUAUUUCUAAUUGUCAGACUCAACAACAAGAAUGGCACUUUUUUUAUUUAACUCCGUCUCAGUCGAUGUAGGGAAUGUAGGGUUUAUUUAUCUUUUUAUAUAUAUUGGAGACAGACUACAAAACAAUAUCAUAAUGAACAUUUAGCUUAGUUAUGAGACUUUACUCCGAAGCUUGCAGAGUGAGGGAGUCAGCACAAAUGAGCGGUUAAUUCAACUAAAUAUGGCGCUAGCUAACGAGCUGUCAUGGCUAGCUAGUUUACGUUGUUAGCAAACAACUGUUUAGCUUCGUAAUAUUAAAACACAUUUAAGACACUGAGCGACAUGGGCAUCUGACUUCAGUCCUCUUUCUCCCAACAUGCCGGAUGUCUCCUCAACUUCCUCGGCUACCUCAGUAACAUCUGAAAUUGCCAGUUUAGUCACCUCAGAGAUACUCAAUCGGGUUUCUUUAAACAUUGACGAGCUGAAGCAGUCUAUCUCCAGAUGGGAGGCUGAAGACAUUGAUAACACAUCAUCACCUGAUUGUGUUAAUCGAAAAGUGGAGAAGGAGUUGGAGAGAUUUUUUGGCCUCCGGCGUGUCUUUGCAGAGCACCAAGGAGAGACGUUGGAAGUCUCCAACAAAGACAUUGUGGAGAAGGAGCUGGAGAGAUGUGUUGGCCUCCGGCGUGUCUUUGCAAAGCACCAAGGAGAGACGUUGGAAGUCUCCAACAAAGACCUUGUGGAGAAGGAGCUGGAGAGAUGUGUUGGCCUCCGGCGUGUCUUUACAGAGCACCAAGGAGAGACGCUGGAAGACUCCAACGGAGAUCUUGUCACUGAGAUGAAUUCAACAUCAGGACCCUCAGGACAAAAAGGACAGGAUGUAUCCACAACUGUCACAACCCAUACACCCUGUAUAUCUAACAGGAGAAAUCAGAAAUCUGCAGGCAGUCAUGAGAUAAACACCUUGAAGAAGAUGAAGCCUGCAUGCAAGCCAUGCUUCAAAUCAAAACCGAAGAGAUUUGAUUCAAAAUAUGUCUCUGCAUGUCCCGAAGAGGUGUCUCCCUCUGCCCCUGUUGCCUCCAGUAAGGACAUCAAGGCUGUUGAGAAAACUCAGCUGAACUCUGUCCCUCUGGACAAGGUCCCACCAACUUUGUCCCCCACUGGCUCAUCAUCGGUGAAACAUAUUGAAGUGAGGUCUCCUGUCAUGGAUGAAGACCUACUCACAAACACAGGACCCACACACGUCCACAUGGCCGCUGAGCAAGUGAAGAAAAAAUCCACAAACAGGACAUCCAGCUCUGUGUCUCGUAAGUUCAUUAAUGAUAUGAAGCUUGAGGACGUCACACCAAAGAUGGAAAAGGUCCCACCAACUUUGUCCCCCACUGGCUCAUCACCGGUGAAACAUAUUGAAGUGAGGUCUCCUGUCAUGGAUGAAGACCUACUCACAAACACAGGACCCACACGCGUCCACAUGGCCGCUGAGCAAGUGAAGAAAAAAUCCACAAACAGGACAUCCAGCUCUGUGUCUCGUAAGGUCAAUAAUGAUACGAAGCUUGAGGACGUCACACCAAAGAUGGAAAAGGUCCCACCAACUUUGUCCCCCACUUGUUCAUCACCGGUGAAACAUAUUGAAGUGAGGUCUCCUGUCAUGGAUGAAGACCUACUCACAAACACAGGACCCACACACGUCCACAUGGCCGCUGAGCAAGUGAAGAAAAAAUCCACAAACAGGACAUCCAGCUCUGUGUCUCGUAAGGUCAUUAAUGAUACGAAGCUUGAGGACAUCACACCAAAGAUGGAAAAGGUCCCACCAACUUUGUCCCCCACUGGCUCAUCAUCGGUGAAACAUAUUGAAGUGAGGUCUCCUGUCAUGGAUGAAGACCUACCCACAAACACAGGACCCACACACGUCCACAUGGCCGCUGAGCAAGUGAAGAAAAAAUCCACAAACAGGACAUCCAGCUCUGUGUCUCGUAAGGUCAUUAAUGAUAGGAAGCUUGAGGACGUCACACCAAAGAUGGAAAAGGUCCCACCAACUUUGUCCCCCACUGGCUCAUCACCGGUGAAACAUAUUGAAGUGAGGUCUGCUGUCAUGGAUGAAGACCUACCCACAAACACAGGACCCACACGCGUCCACAUGGCUGCUGAGCAAGUGGAGAAAAAAUCCACAAACAGGACAUCCAGCUCUGUGUCUCGUAAGGUCAUUAAUGAUACGAAGCUUGAGGACGUCACAUCAAAGAUGGAAAAGGUCCCACCAACUUUGUCCCCCACUGGCUCAUCACCGGUGAAACAUAUUGAAGUGAGGUCUGCUGUCAUGGAUGAAGACCUACCCACAAACACAGGACCCACACGCGUCCACAUGGCUGCUGAGCAAGUGGAGAAAAAAUCCACAAACAGGACAUCCAGCUCUGUGUCUCGUAAGGUCAUUAAUGAUACGAAGCUUGAGGACGUCACACCAAAGAUGGAAAAGGUCCCACCAACUUUGUCCCCCACUGGCUCAUCACCGGUGAAACAUAUUGAAGUGAGGUCUGCUGUCAUGGAUGAAGACCUACCCACAAACACAGGACCCACACGCGUCCACAUGGCCGCUGAGCAAGUGAAGAAAAAAUCCACAAACAGGACAUCCAGCUCUGUGUCUCGUAAGGUCAUUAAUGAUACGAAGCUUGAGGACGUCACACCAAAGAUGGAAAAGGUCCCACCAACUUUGUCCCCCACUGGCUCAUCACCGGUGAAACAUAUUGAAGUGAGGUCUGCUGUCAUGGAUGAAGACCUACCCACAAACACAGGACCCACACACGUCCACAUGGCCGCUGAGCAAGUGGAGAAAAAAUCCACAAACAGGACAUCCAGCUCUGUGUCUCGUAAGGUCAUUAAUGAUACGAAGCUUGAGGACGUCACAUCAAAGAUGGAAAAGGUCCCACCAACUUUGUCCCCCACUGGCUCAUCACCGGUGAAACAUAUUGAAGUGAGGUCUGCUGUCAUGGAUGAAGACCUACCCACAAACACAGGACCCACACGCGUCCACAUGGCCGCUGAGCAAGUGGAGAAAAAAUCCACAAACAGGACAUCCAGCUCUGUGUCUUGUAAGGUCAUUAAUGAUAUGAAGCUUGAGGACGUCACACCAAAGAUGGAAAAAGUCCCACCAACUUUGUCCCCCACUGGCUCAUCACUGGUGGAAUAUAUUGAAGUGAGGUCUCCUGUCAUGGAUGAAGACCUACUCACAAACACAGGACUCACACACGUCCACAUGGCCGUUGAGCAAGUGGAGGAAAAAUCCACAAGCAGGACAUCCAGCUCUGUGUCUCGUAAGGUCAUUAAUGAUAUGAAGCUUGAGGACGUCACACCAAAGAUGGAAAAAGUCCCACCAACUUUGUCCCCCACUGGCUCAUCACUGGUGGAAUAUAUUGAAGUGAGGUCUGCCUGUCAUGGAUGAAGACCUACUCACAAACACAGGACUCACACACGUCCACAUGGCCGUUGAGCAAGUGGAGGAAAAAUCCACAAGCAGGACAUCCAGCUCUGUGUCUCGUGAAGAGUGCAUCCUCAAAACCAACAGCCUGGAGGCGCCCUCAAAACCAACAGCCCGGUGGCGCCUUCGUAAAAAUAGAUCCAUCAAUAAGAUCCACCCGGCUUCUGACGAACCGAAGGACAAUGAGGUAAGGAUGUUGCCAUGUAAACUGUCAUCUGAACAAUACACGUUUAAUUUUUAACCUCUGUAUUUACCCUGUUGUUUUAUUUCAAUUAAUCACAAGGCUUCACCUCAGGUUCAGGAGCCUGUCCAGACCGAAAGGUCAUGUCUGCUGAGAUGGAUCUGUUGUUGCUGCUGCUGCUGCUGCUGCUGUCCCUGCAAGAGUGGAACCAAAGAUUAACCCAGCGGGACCCUCACACGUCCACUUGGUCGCUGAGCAAAAUGUGGACGAAUCUAUCCAAAAAGGACGUCAAAAAACCCUUAAAAAAUAAACAAACGUCAUGUUAUUAGAGUCUUGUUCUAUGGUAUGUCCUGGUUCUG
ensembl:lncRNA mucin-6-like